rnacentral:rRNA from 1 species
CAAAAACAUAACCUUUAGCCAAACAAAUAUUAAAGGCAACGCCUGCCCAGUGAAGAAUUAAACGGCCGCGGUACCCUAACCGUGCAAAGGUAGCAUAAUCAUUUGUCUAUUAACUGUAGACCAGUAUGAAAGGCAAAAUGAGGGUUUAACUGUCUCUUAUAAUAAAUCUAUUAAACUGAUCUUCCAGUAAAAAAGCUGGAAUAACCACAUAAGACCAGAAGACCCUGUGAAGCUUAAACUAAACUAUUAAACCCAAUAAUAACUACUUUCGGUUGGGGCGACCUUGGAAAUAAGAAAAACUUCCAAAUAUAUACCACUAUAGGCCAACAAGCCAACACACGACCCAGUAAAACUGAUAAACGAACAAAGUUACUCCAGGGAUAACAGCGCUAUCUUCUUCAAGAGCCCAUAUCAAAAAGAAGGUUUACGACCUCGAUGUUGGAUCAGGACAUCCUAAUGGUGCAGCAGCUAUUAAGG